rnacentral:rRNA from 1 species
UACGUAGGGCGCAAGCGUUGUCCGGAAUUAUUGGGCGUAAAGAGCUCGUAGGCGGUUUGUCGCGUCUGCUGUGAAAGACCGGGGCUCAACUCCGGUUCUGCAGUGGGUACGGGCAGACUAGAGUGAUGUAGGGGAGACUGGAAUUCCUGGUGUAGCGGUGAAAUGCGCAGAUAUCAGGAGGAACACCGGUGGCGAAGGCGGGUCUCUGGGCCGAUACUGACGCUGAGGAGCGAAAGCGUGGGGAGCAAACGGG